AUAUGACAUGUCGCUUGGCCCAUGGGCCCACCAUUUAAUAAGAAAGCACUCUUUGUUUUUCGUCACCGCCACAACAACACAAUUUGUCUUCGUCCCCGAGAUCUGGUUGCUACUCCUGCCGUGUCCACAUCUGAUCUACCAAAAGGGGCCGAUGAGUUUUCGAUGUAAUAUGGAUAUGACAUUUAGGAAAUAGAGCACACGCGAUCGCAUAGCGGAGUGGAUAUCGCGUUAGACUCCGAAUCUAAAGGUCGUGGGUUCGAUUCCCACUGCGAUCGUCCUCACUCUUUUUGAUUUUUUUUAUAAUGAUUUUAUGACAUUGUGACAUUUACCUCUCUGCCUGUUUUAUGUGAUUUGCAUAAUGAUAUUGGAAUAUUUGAUUGAAUGGAAGAUUGAAGGUUUUUACUACACUCUUGGACCCAAUGCAGUAGGUUCAUUGUAUAAUUUUAGGUCCAAUAGGGCUGCUUUUAACUUCUAUAGGAAGCAUAAGCAGGCUUAAGAUACAUCAUUAACGAAUGGCACAUAAUUAAGCUACCGAGAGAAAAUGCUUUUGGUUUCGUCGAUGUUAGAGUAUGCGUGUUAAGUGUUUAAAGGUCUCCUUUCGAUACAAUUGAGUGAUGAUUUCUACUAAUAGUGUAGCCCAAAUAAAUUCAGGUGUUAAAUGUGAUAUUGUAUUAGAAGCCUUUUUUUUUUUUUUUUCACUCACCUUUUUGGUUAUUAUUGGAUUAGAAGGUGAUUAAGUUGGAGAAUUAUCAACUGAAUAUAUGUGCAUGAUUCUGUCACUCUCCUGUCGUUCCUUCACGUCUAAUGCAUACAUUGUUCUUGUGGUUGAUCUGUGUAUGCUCUAAUGUCUGUCUACGAUGCUUUUUCUUGAAAUGAUCAAAGCUUGUUUUCCUUGUUUCUCCUAUGUUUUUUUACCCUUUGUGUUUGGUGGGUAAAAUGAACAUUAUUUAAAGAAUUAAAAGAAACAAUUAUGUAAUAUCUGUAAAGUUUUUUUCUCAUGCAACUGUGUUCUCUAUUCUUUAGCCAGAAGGAUAAAGAUUUAGAUAUAAAUGCAGUAGAUUGCUUUGUUUGAGCCUUGUUGCUAACAAUACACAACCACAGCAAAGACAAGCUUGCACAUAGUAACUCUUAAACUUCUUCCUUUCAACAUAUAAACACCUCAAUGCUGAUUAUUAUCCGAGGAAUUCAAUAAUAUUUUUGAACAAACAUCAGUUUAACAUGUGCUGCCUGAGUCUUUUAGUAAUGGUGCACUUGAAAAUAGACGAUCGCAUAGUUCCAUGCCACUUUUGCAGCAACCACACUACAAAUCACCAUUGUAUCCUAAUUUGGCUAAAACUGUCUUGUGGAUGGUCUAUUCUUCACUAUUGGCCAAUUAGUGAAGGAGCAUUUAGGAAUUCCGACUAGGAAACAAAUCAACUCAUGUCAAUCUAUCUCCUACUUCUGCAGACUGCAGCAAACCCACAACAAAUUACAUUGUAUCCCCAUUUGGCAUGAGUGGACUCUUUGUGAUUGCUAGAUAACAAAUAAAGGAGUAUUUAGGAAUUCCCAUGUGGAACCAUUAAAUUUAUUCCAAUCUACCUCCUACUGCUUUGCCUUGAUCUUAUUUUAAGGACAAUUGCUAGUGACCUCUGAUUGAGAAGGAAGCCAUUUGAUAGUAUCUACUAUGUGCAAUACUAUCUACACAAGCCAGCUUGAAUGGACACAAGUUCCUCUGAUCUUGCAGGCGGUCAACACCAGUGACCAUCCUUCAACGUGCUAGAAUACCUCUAGCAAAAUUGUACAAGCAGCACCGCUUUAUAAUGUUAUUUGAGCAACAAAGCACCUUCUGGAAGCUAGUUAUUGUGUCAAAGGAAGACCUUAUCACCCUUCCCCACUGCAUACUUCAUAAAAGAACUUGCGAGGUCUCUAAGUUUGAAAAAUUCCUCCAUCCCCGUCAGCUUCCUUGUGGAAUGUUAACUGACCAGAACCUCAAACAACAGAUAUUGAUGAUAUUCAGUACUUCUAUCACCACGUGACUGUAAGCGACCAAGAAGAUAGGUGUAGUGUGAAUUGAGAAUAUAUUUAUGAACUGGUGAAUGGAAAUUUUUGGUGCAUCCUUGUUAUUUUUGGUGGUACAUGAAAUUAUGAGAUUUUAGUGUAUGCUUCUAUUGAAAUGGUUUUGUGUUGACAGUAUUUAUUUGGUGAA